UCCGGUUUAACACCGGCAGUCUCCUUAGAGUCCCCAACUUAAUGCUGGUAACUAAGAACAAGGGUUGCGCUCGUUAUCGGACUUAACCGGACAUCUUACGACACGAGCUGACGACAGCCAUGCAGCACCUAUCACCACGUCCCCGAAGGGAAAGCUACAUCUCUGCAGUUGUCGUGGGAUGUUAAGGGUAGGUAAGGUUCUGCGCGUUGCUUCGAAUUAAACCACAUACUCCACCGCUUGUGCGGGCCCCCGUCAAUUCCUUUGAGUUUUAGCCUUGCGACCGUACUCCCCAGGCGGGAUACUUAACGCGUUAGCUGUGGUACUCAGGAGGUUAAUUUCCCAAACACCUAGUAUCCAUAGUUUACGGCGUGGACUAC
rnacentral:misc_RNA from 1 species